rnacentral:tRNA from 1 species
UUUAAUGCUUAGUGGUUAGAGCACUUGGGCGGUGACCAAAAGGCGCGAGUUCAAAUCCCGCUACAUUAAAA